GACGAACGCUGGCGGCGUGCUUAACACAUGCAAGUCGAACGGAAAGGCCCUGCUUUUGUGGGGUGCUCGAGUGGCGAACGGGUGAGUAACACGUGAGUAACCUGCCCUUGACUUUGGGAUAACUUCAGGAAACUGGGGCUAAUACCGGAUAGGAGCUCCUGCUGCAUGGUGGGGGUUGGAAAGUUUCGGCGGUUGGGGAUGGACUCGCGGCUUAUCAGCUUGUUGGUGGGGUAGUGGCUACCAAGGCUUUGACGGGUAGCCGGCCUGAGAGGGUGACCGGCCACAUUGGGACUGAGAUACGGCCCAGACUCCUACGGGAGGCAGCAGUGGGGAAUAUUGCACAAUGGGCGGAAGCCUGAUGCAGCAACGCCGCGUGCGGGAUGACGGCCUUCGGGUUGUAAACCGCUUUCGCCUGUGACGAAGCGUGAGUGACGGUAAUGGGUAAAUAAGCACCGGCUAACUACGUG
rnacentral:rRNA from 1 species